GCCUUCGUGGUGUAACGGUAGCACACUUGGUGUGUAUUCGAGAGGUCCAGGUUCGAGUCCCGGUGAAGGCA
rnacentral:tRNA from 1 species